CAUCGAUGUACACACACAGGCGAGAAACGUUUUACGUGUUCCGAGUGCGCAAAAAGAUUCAUGAGGAGCGAUCACUUAUCGAAACACAUCAAGACGCACCAAAGCAAGGGAUCAGUGGGCGCAGGGACACCAGGAAUAAUGGAUGGUGAUGAUAUAGCAGUUUACUCAGUCAUCGCCAUGCCAUCCGGUGUCCAGGACGACAACAUCAACAACAGCAUGGCUUCACUCGGGUCAUCGGAGGCUGAGCAGUCAGACGCUGACAUGGACAGCACACUAACAGAUGUCAAACCUAUCAUCACCACAAUGACCACAUGAUGGUCUCUACCUCCACAGUGUGAUAUCAGUGUGUCACAAUGUCAUUGUCAACACCUGAUGUUGUGUCACUAUGUCACAAAUACAUUAUCAAUACCCAACAUGGUGUUUGUGUGACAAAUCCAUUACCAAUCUUUGAUGGGGUGUUUGUGUGUCACAAAUCCAGUACCAGUCUUCGAUGUGGUGUCUGUAUGUCACAUUGCCAUUAUCAAUGCUCAAUGUUGUCUGUGUGUCACAAAUCCAUUAUCAAUAUCCAAUGAGAUGUGUGUGUCACACUGUCAUUACUAAUGGCCAUUGUGGAGUCUGUCAUCACCAUUGCCCACUUAAUGUCAAAAAUCUAACAUCAACAACUGAUGCAAUAGAUAGAAUCCAAGAAUCUCUCGUCUCAAGAAUCCAUUGUCACUAUUUCAUUUCUGUCCCUGACCAAGCAUUACCACCUGGAAGACACACCCACGUGUUUGUUGUGCAGGAGUCUGUCUAUUUCUGUGUCUGACUUUCAUGUGUAAACAAUUAGGACGCACAGUGACUCACACCUGCCCCACCUCCCAACAUAGUAAACACUAUCAGGCGUGUAUAAUAUAGGUAGAGAUAUCUAUAUUAUACACUCCUGAUUGUACUAUGAAUGAGGGUAGAAGGUAGAUCGUGUGUGAGGGGGUAUUACGGUAAAACUCGCAUAAGUCGACACUUUUGGGACCAGCAUAUUUGUGCCGACUUACGAAAGUGGUGACA